rnacentral:rRNA from 1 species
CCUACGGGAGGCAGCAGUCGAGGAUCUUCGGCAAUGGGCGAAAGCCUGACCGAGCGACGCCGCGUGAGCGAUGAAGGCCAUUAGGUUGUAAAGCUCUGUCGAGGGGGAGCAAGCCGCAAGGUUGAGCGAUCCCCUGGAGGAAGCACGGGCUAAGUUCGUGCCAGCAGCCGCGGUAAGACGAACCGUGCGAACGUUAUUCGGAAUCAUUGGGCUUAAAGGGUGCGUAGGCGGGUGUUCAAGUCCGGGGUGAAAGCCUCCAGCUCAACUGGAGAAGCGCCUCGGAUACUGUUCAUCUGGAGAGAGAUAGGGGCACAUGGAACUUCCGGUGGAGCGGUGAAAUGCGUAGAGAUCGGAAGGAACGCCGGUGGCGAAAGCGAUGUGCUGGAUCUUUUCUGACGCUGAGGCACGAAAGCCAGGGGAGCAAACGGGGAUUAGAUACCCCGGUAGUCCUAGCCCUAAACGAUGGGUACUGGGUUGCGGGUCGGACAGUAGACUCGCACGCGACGACAAAGUAGGUAACGUACCCGUCCGCGGGAGGUAGUGGUCGCGAAGGACGUGUAACGUACGUAAAGUUAGUUAAGUUAGUUACGGCGUGAGACGNGCCGACGGACGACGACGAGGGAGGAGG